rnacentral:rRNA from 1 species
UACGAAGGGGGCUAGCGUUGUUCGGAAUUACUGGGCGUAAAGCGCGCGCAGGCGGCUCUCCAAGUCAGUGGUGAAAGCCCGGAGCUCAACUCCGGAACUGCCAUUGAAACUGUUGAACUUGAGGACGAGAGAGGUGAGUGGAAUUCCCAGUGUAGAGGUGAAAUUCGUAGAUAUUGGGAAGAACACCAGUGGCGAAGGCGGCUCACUGGCUCGUAUCUGACGCUCAGGCGCGAUAGCGUGGGGAUCAAACAGG